GUUAGAAACAGAAAACAGUGGUGGCAGCUUUACACCAGAACUGAGCACUACUGAAAGUGCCACUGUGAAACUGCUACAAGGAAUAGCGAGAGAAGACACUGCCAGCGAACGAGCCAUAUGGGUGUUUACUUCCUUAUAUGUACCUUAGACGUUGCUGCAAACCGUUGAGAUGACGCUGGAAGCAUUACCAGAUUCAAGCUGCCGAUUGCCACAUUAUGGGAUAACACUCAUGCAACAGUGGUCACCAAUGCUGUUCCUGGAUAUCUACCUUCUGGCAUCCAGUUGCCAAAAAUGCACCCUUCAUUUAUGAGAAGUCAAAGGCCACAAGAGCUUGUAAUGAAAUGCUUUAAGUGUGAAUUGUAAUUUUAUGAAAGCAAGAUUUAAACAUGCCACAUUGUUGACACCAGUUAGCCAUAACAUGGUAGUGCAGUCUAACCAGGCAAUCUCGAAUGUGUGUGAAUGAGAACUAAAGAGGACCCUUCCCAGAGCUAACAAGGUCUCUCCUACCUCAGCUCUUCACUUCUGUUGGUUA